GCUGCAGCAACUUAGUGUUCUGGGCAGACUCGGCGAUGCCGGAGGCUCUUUCUCCUGUCCUGCUCCAGCCUAAGCUUUCAGCAGGCCCCGUGUGACGUCAACAAUGAGAAGCUUCUGUUCUUCUGUAGCCCACACAGCCUGUGUGUUCUAUGCUUUACAAACUGCGUGAAGGUGCUCUGCUGAAUAGGUUUUCAUGACAUCUGUUUCUAGAAGAGCUCAUACGAUUGCUCCACAAGGGUCCUUGAUAGCAUGUUUUUUGAGUGAGUGUGUGUGUGUGUGUUUCACAGUUCUAUCACUAGGACUUACCCCCAGAGCCAUCCAUACAAGCCAAAUGCUUACCUCUCUGACAUUUACUGAGUGAAGGGACAUAGGCAAAAAUCGGACUUGGGUCGAUUUCCUUGCAUCACUAUAGACAGAUGACUGAGUCUCCUUGAACGGACCUCCUUGGCCUUCUUGACUAUGAUCAUUUGGAGGAUGUACUCAGAAGGUAGAGUCUUUCUCCAACCACAGAGAGGAAAACAGUCUCUUAUGAAAUCAGUCUAAAAACUCAUUCCAUUCAUUCCUCAUGCUGACGUGGCACUGAAGAAAGAUACAUCUUAAAGUAACCUCGAAGUCUUAAACAGCUCACAGGAAUGUGGUGACAAGAACACUGGAAUUUAAAAAUGUAAAGAGCUUACUGACCUAAAUGUCACUUUACCAAAAUUGCUGAGAAUGAGGGGGAAAAAAAAAAAAAGGUAUCUCGAAGAGACAGCUAAAAUAGACUAGAAAGGUAGCAAAGUCUUUGCACUAAACUCACAGAAAAUGAAAAAUUAGCAGUGAAGAAAAAUAAAAGUGCUUGAAGAGAAUUGCUAGAUAACAAGCAUAUUGGCCACAGUUGGAAAUUUUGAUUAACUGCAAUUACGUUGGCAGACAGGCACGAUUUAAUUUUCCUAAAGUGAUAGAAUUUAGGAGCACAGCAUCUCUAUCUUCAGAAUGGAGACUUUUCCUAUGGGAUCAUAGGGGUCAAUGAAGAGUACAGGUCAUUGAUGUGAUAAAGAACUAGGACCAUAUGUUGAUAUGUCUCUCAAUUUCCCCCAAACCUCCAUAACCAGGUGCUAUGACUGAACUGUGCCCUCCACCAAACAUAUAUAUUUCUCUCUAAUUAAAAACAUUUUGGUUGAUCCUUUGAAGAUCGAACCUUGGCCAUCACUUAAAUCAUUUGUUGUGUUGUUUCUAGUUUGGAACUCUUAGUCUUGCUAAGGAAAUUCUUACACAUAUUGUCCUUUGGUGGUAUCUGUGUUGUUACACAUCCAGGGGAGAAAUUGCUGGGUCACAUGGAAUGCUUAUGGUCAGCUUUAGUAGUUACUAUCAAAGAGUUUUCCAAAGUGGUUUUACUAAUUCAUUUGCCCAAAAGCAGUACAGCCAGCCCUUAGCAUCCAUGGGGGAUUGGUACCACAACACCCAUGGAUACCAAAAGCCAUGUAUAUUCAAGACCCUUAAAAAUAAAGUCAUGUAGCACAGUCAGCCCCCACAAUUAUGCCCCAAAGGAUUCAACUAACCUCAGAUCAGAUCCACAAUUAGUGAUUAGUUGAAUCUGCAGAUGGGGAACUUGUGAAUACAGAGGGCCCAUGGUAUCUGCUUCCCACUGAUUGCUCUACAUCAUAGCCAAUAGUGGGUAUUGAGAGUCUUUUAUUUUAAAAAAAAUUGCAUUCUGGUG
rnacentral:lncRNA from 1 species